UUAUUUUAGAGUUUGGAAUAUGGCUCAGAUUGAACGCUGGCGGCAGGCCUAACACAUGCAAGUCGAGCGGAUGAAGGGAGCUUGCUCCUGGAUUCAGCGGCGGACGGGUGAGUAAUGCCUAGGAAUCUGCCUGGUAGUGGGGGAUAACGUCCGGAAACGGGCGCUAAUACCGCAUACGUCCUGAGGGAGAAAGUGGGGGAUCUUCGGACCUCACGCUAUCAGAUGAGCCUAGGUCGGAUUAGCUAGUUGGUGGGGUAAAGGCCUACCAAGGCGACGAUCCGUAACUGGUCUGAGAGGAUGAUCAGUCACACUGGAACUGAGACACGGUCCAGACUCCUACGGGAGGCAGCAGUGGGGAAUAUUGGACAAUGGGCGAAAGCCUGAUCCAGCCAUGCCGCGUGUGUGAAGAAGGUCUUCGGAUUGUAAAGCACUUUAAGUUGGGAGGAAGGGCAGUAAGUUAAUACCUUGCUGUUUUGACGUUACCAACAGAAUAAGCACCGGCUAACUUCGUGCCAGCAGCCGCGGUAAUACGAAGGGUGCAAGCGUUAAUCGGAAUUACUGGGCGUAAAGCGCGCGUAGGUGGUUCAGCAAGUUGGAUGUGAAAUCCCCGGGCUCAACCUGGGAACUGCAUCCAAAACUACUGAGCUAGAGUACGGUAGAGGGUGGUGGAAUUUCCUGUGUAGCGGUGAAAUGCGUAGAUAUAGGAAGGAACACCAGUGGCGAAGGCGACCACCUGGACUGAUACUGACACUGAGGGCGAAAAGAGGGCC
rnacentral:rRNA from 1 species